GCCCAGCUAGCUCAGUCAGUAGAGCAUGAGACUCUUAAUCUCAGGGUCAUGAGAUUGGGCA
rnacentral:tRNA from 1 species